CCCUUAGACGUUCUGGGCCGCACGCGCGCUACACUGACCAGUGCAACAAGCAUCCGUCCUUGGCCGACAGGCUCGGGCAAUCUUUGAACGCUGAUCGUGAUGGGGAUAGACUUUUGCAAUUUUUGGUCUUCAACGAGGAAUUCCUAGUAAACGCAAGUCAUCAACUUGCAUUGAUUACGUCCCUGCCCUUUGUACACACCGCCCGUCGCACCUACCGAUUGAAUGGUCCGGUGAAGCCUCCGGAUUGGCGUGCACCCUCGGGUGCUGCCGAGAAGUUGGCUAAACCUUACCAUUUAGAGGAAGGUGAAGUCGUANCA
rnacentral:rRNA from 1 species